UUUAUAUCACAAUGGAACACUGGUUCCAAUAUGAUCACUGAAGUUAAGCAGCAUUGAGCUUGGUCAGUACCUAGAUGUGUGACUGCUUGGGAAUACCAGGG